GUGAACGCUGGCGGUAGGCCUAACACCUGCCAGUCGAACGGCAGCACCGUAAGAGCUUGCUCUUACGGGUGGCGAGUGGCGGACGGGUGAGGAAUACAUCGGAAUCUACUUUUUCGUGGGGGAUAACGUAGGGAAACUUACGCUAAUACCGCAUACGACCUACGGGUGAAAGCAGGGGAUCUUCGGACCUUGCGCGAUUGAAUGAGCCGAUGUCGGAUUAGCUAGUUGGCGGGGUAAAGGCCCACCAAGGCGACGAUCCGUAGCUGGUCUGAGAGGAUGAUCAGCCACACUGGAACUGAGACACGGUCCAGACUCCUACGGGAGGCAGCAGUGGGGAAUAUAGGACAAUGGGCGCAAGCCUGAUCCAGCCAUACCGCGUGGGUGAAGAAGGCCUUCGGGUUGUAAAGCCCUUUUGUUGGGAAAGAAAAGCAGCAGGUUAAUACCCCGCUGUUCUGACGGUACCCAAAGAAUAAGCACCGGCUAACUUCGUG
rnacentral:rRNA from 1 species